rnacentral:rRNA from 1 species
CUCCGGUUGAUCCUGCCGGACCCGACUGCUAUCAGAGUGGGACUAAGCCAUGCGAGUCAACAUAGCAAUAUGUGGCAUACGGCUCAGUAACACGUAGUCAACAUGCCCAGGGGACGUGGAUAACCUCGGGAAACUGAGGAUAAACCGCGAUAGGUCAUCACUUCUGGAAUGGGUAAUGACUUAAAUCUAUAUGGCCCCUGGAUUGGACUGCGGCCGAUCAGGCUGUUGGUGAGAUAAUGGCCCACCAAACCUGUAACCGGUACGGGCUCUGAGAGGAGGAGCCCGGAGAUGGGCACUGAGACAAGGGCCCAGGCCCUAUGGGGCGCAGCAGGCGCGAAACCUCUGCAAUAGGCGAAAGCUUGACAGGGUUACUCUGAGUGAUUUCCGUUAAGGAGAUCUUUUGGCACCUCUAAAAAUGGUGCAGAAUAAGGGGUGGGCAAGUCUGGUGUCAGCCGCCGCGGUAAUACCAGCACCCCGAGUGGUCGGGACGUUUAUUGGGCCUAAAGCAUCCGUAGCCGGUUCUACAAGUCUUCCGUUAAAUCCACCUGCUUAACAGAUGGGCUGCGGAAGAUACUAUAGAGCUAGGAGGCGGGAGAGGCAAGCGGUACUCGAUGGGUAGGGGUAAAAUCCGUUGAUCCAUUGAAGACCACCAGUGGCGAAGGCGGCUUGCCAGAACGCGCUCGACGGUGAGGGAUGAAAGCUGGGGGAGCAAACCGGAUUAGAUACCCGGGUAGUCCCAGCUGUAAACGAUGCAGACUCGGUGAUGAGUUGGCUUAUUGCUAACUCAGUGCCGCAGGGAAGCCGUUAAGUUUGCCGCCUGGGGAGUACGGUCGCAAGACUGAAACUUAAAGGAAUUGGCGGGGGAGCA